CUUGUCCUUUAAUGGGGACCUGUAUGAAUGGCAUGACGAGGGCUAUACUGUCUCCUCUUUCCAGUCAAUGAAAUUGAUCUCCCCGUGCAGAAGCGGGGAUAAAAACAUAAGACGAGAAGACCCUAUGAAGCUUUAGAUACCAAGACAGCUUACGUUAAACAACCCUUACAAAGGUACAAACUUAGUAACCCCUGUCCGAAUGUCUUUGGUUGGGGCGACCGCGGGGCAAUAAAUAACCCCCAUGUGGACUAGGAAAACUAGACCUCCUACAACCCAAAGCGACGCUCUAAGUAACAAAAUUUUUGACCAAUUGGAUCCGGCAACGCCAAUAACGGACCGAGUUACUCUGGGAUAACAGCGCAUCCCCUUUUAGAGUCCCUAUCGACAAGGGGGUUUACGACCUCGAUUUUGGAUCAGGACAUCCUAAUGGUGCACCCCCUAUAAAGGGUUCGUUUGUUCAACGAUAAAGGUCCUACUUGAUCUGAGUUCAAACCGGAGGU
rnacentral:rRNA from 1 species